rnacentral:rRNA from 1 species
GACGAACGCUGGCGGCGUGCCUAAUACAUGCCAGUAGAACGCACAGUUUAUACCGUAGCUUGCUACACCAUAGACUGUGAGUUGCGAACGGGUGAGUAACGCGUAGGUAACCUGCCUGGUAGCGGGGGAUAACUAUUGGAAACGAUAGCUAAUACCGCAUAAUAUUGAUUAUUGCAUGAUAAAUAAUUGAAAGGUGCAAUUGCACCACUACCAGAUGGACCUGCGUUGUAUUAGCUAGUAGGUGAGGUAACGGCUCACCUAGGCGACGAUACAUAGCCGACCUGAGAGGGUGAUCGGCCACACUGGGACUGAGACACGGCCCAGACUCCUACGGGAGGCAGCAGUAGGGAAUCUUCGGCAAUGGACGAAAGUCUGACCGAGCAACGCCGCGUGAGUGAAGAAGGUUUUCGGAUCGUAAAGCUCUGUUGUAAGAGAAGAACGGGUGUGAGAGUGGAAAGUUCACACUGUGACGGUAUCUUACCAGAAAGGGACGGCUAACUACGUG